CAGUCGCCGCGGUAACACGGAGGGAGCUAGCGUUAUUCGGAAUUACUGGGCGUAAAGCGCACGUAGGCGGCUUGUAAGUAAGAGGUGAAAGCCCAGAGCUCAACUCUGGAAUUGCCUUUUAGACUGCAUCGCUUGAAUCAUGGAGAGGUCAGUGGAAUUCCGAGUGUAGAGGUGAAAUUCGUAGAUAUUCGGAAGAACACCAGUGGCGAAGGCGGCUGACUGGACAUGUAUUGACGCUGAGGUGCGAAAGCGUGGGGAGCAAACAGGAUUAGAGACCCCAGUAGUCCCUGUCUCUUAUACA
rnacentral:rRNA from 1 species